rnacentral:rRNA from 1 species
AACGUAGGUGGCAAGCGUUGUCCGGAAUUACUGGGUGUAAAGGGAGCGCAGGCGGAGCUGUAAGUUGGGCGUCAAAUCUACGGGCUUAACCCGUAACCGCGCUCAAAACUGCGGCUCUUGAGUAGUGCAGAGGCAGGCGGAAUUCCCGGUGUAGCGGUGGAAUGCGUAGAUAUCGGGAGGAACACCAGUGGCGAAGGCGGCCUGCUGGGCACCAACUGACGCUGAGGCUCGAAAGCAUGGGUAGCAAACAGG